rnacentral:piRNA from 1 species
UAAUGCUUCAAAGGAUGGUUAUCAUUUGA